rnacentral:rRNA from 1 species
GAAUGCCGGUAUGAGUAACGAAAAGAUCUGUGAGAAUCAGAUCCGCCGAAAGCCUAAGGGUUCCUGAGGAAGGUUCGUCCGCUCAGGGUAAGUCGGGACCUAAGGCGAGGCCGAUAGGCGUAGUCGAUGGACAACAGGUCGAAAUUCCUGUACCACCGUAAUCCGCUAUGAGCGAUGGGGUGACGCAGUAGGGUAGUGACGCGGACUGAUGGAUGUCCGUCUAAGCAGUGAGGCUGGUGUGUAGGCAAAUCCGCACAUCGU